rnacentral:rRNA from 1 species
UACGUAGGGUGCGAGCGUUAAUCGGAAUUACUGGGCGUAAAGCGUGCGCAGGCGGCUAUGCAAGACAGAUGUGAAAUCCCCGGGCUCAACCUGGGAACUGCAUUUGUGACUGCAUGGCUAGAGUACGGUAGAGGGGGAUGGAAUUCCGCGUGUAGCAGUGAAAUGCGUAGAUAUGCGGAGGAACACCGAUGGCGAAGGCAAUCCCCUGGACCUGCACUGACGCUCAUGCACGAAAGCGUGGGGAGCAAACAGG